GAUGAACGCUGGCGGCGUGCCUAAUACAUGCAAGUCGAGCGAACAGAUGAGGAGCUUGCUCCUCUGACGUUAGCGGCGGACGGGUGAGUAACACGUGGAUAACCUACCUAUAAGACUGGGAUAACUUCGGGAAACCGAAGCUAAUACCGGAUAAUAUAUUGAACCGCAUGGUUCAAUAGUGAAAGACGGUUUUGCUGUCACUUAUAGAUGGAUCCGCGCCGCAUUAGCUAGUUGGUAAGGUAACGGCUUACCAAGGCGACGAUGCGUAGCCGACCUGAGAGGGUGAUCGGCCACACUGGAACUGAGACACGGUCCAGACUCCUACGGGAGGCAGCAGUAGGGAAUCUUCCGCAAUGGGCGAAAGCCUGACGGAGCAACGCCGCGUGAGUGAUGAAGGUCUUCGGAUCGUAAAACUCUGUUAUUAGGGAAGAACAAAUGUGUAAGUAACUAUGCACGUCUUGACGGUACCUAAUCAGAAAGCCACGGCUAACUACGUG
rnacentral:rRNA from 1 species